rnacentral:misc_RNA from 1 species
AAAUGCGAUAAGUAAUGUGAAUUGCAGAAUUCCGUGAAUCAUCGAAUCUUUGAACGCACAUUGCGCCCUCUGGUAUUCCGGGGGGCAUGCCUGUCCGAGCGUCAUUGCGACCCCCUCAAGCACGGCUUGUGUGAUGGGCCCUCCCGCGUCUUGGUCGUCAAGACGGGCCCGAAAAGCAGUGGCGGCUUCGCGGUUAUCCGAUCAGCCAGAGCGUAUGGGGACUUUCUCUCUGUCACACGCCCGCGGCGCGGACCGACGCCUGUCGACCUUUAUUCAUCUUUUUCUCGGUUGACCUCGGAUCAGGUAGGGAUACCCGCUGAACUUAAGC